AAUACUAAAUGCAGGUCAAGUGCAUUGUGUUACUGCACAAAUAAGGCAAUCCAUUUGCCCAACAUCUCUAGUGUUUUUACACACUGCACAUUCCCCUUAUCAAAGCGUAUACAACUACAGGGAUGUCCUGCCACAUCAUUAAGUACCGUACCCCUAACCUUCACAGCAAGUACCCCUGGGUGGAUGUAGAGCCAUCAGAGCUGUCAUACCAGUGAGCGUUACCUGAUAUCUAUGGUAACCACCCCAGAACCACAUGCGGCGCACUGUCAUGCAAUGAUGACAACACUAGCCGUGACUCCCCCGGCUACAAAUGGGCAAUCCCAAGAACGCACAGUAUUGGAUACUUAUUCACAUAUAGAUCAACCCAAGUAUUAAAGGCAUGACAUAUGCAAUGAUUCCAUGAAAUUAAGGUCACUAGAUUUUAUACCUAAUUCUACAAAGGACUCUAAAUGUGAGUUAUGCUGGCCGGCACAAGCAAUAUUUAAAGGCUAAAAAUUAGAUUACUGGAAUUCAGCUUUAUUUCCUGUACUUCAACUGGGAAGUUCCCGGGGUUCACAGUGAUCCUAUAUUUUGAGUCUGUUGUACUGAAGAUACAUUUCAUUACAUUUUUUUUUUACCUUAUCUUAGCAAUAUAAUAAAUUAUGUGUCCCAAAAAGGUUGGGAGUGACUGCCAAUUUUGUUCCAGGGCAUUACAUCGCAGAAAAGCCUUGGACUAUAAAUGUUAUUUAUUUGAAGCAUAAGAAAAGAGCAUAGCACACAGCAAAAGUGAUUUAACACUCAAUAAUUUCCAGUGACAUGAAAGCAGACAAUUAACUGCCUGUUCGCAUAUUGCUUUUAUUAUGGAAGAGUUUGGCAUCAUAUCUAAAUGAGGUGUAAACAGCAAACUGAAACCUUUUCACAGUAUCAGCAGUAAAGUGUAAAUUUUCUUCUUGCU